AGAGUUGAUCACACUUAACAAUAUGUGCAGGCAGGACCGAAAAAAGGUGUGGUGCCUUCCAGCCCAUAAAUCAAAGGUUUCUCUUGUCACUGCCGUGUAAGAAGUGCCUUUUGCCUCCUGCCAUGAUUCUGAGGCUUCCCCAGCCAUGUGGAACUGUGACGCCUUGCUGUGUUGCCCAGGGUGGUCUCUAAUUCCUGGCCUUUAGCAAUUCUCCCGCCUUGGCCUCCUAAAGCACUGGGGUUACAGGCAUGAACCACUGUGCCCAGCCUGCAUGAUGUAAUCUCCAAAUUGAGGGCAGGAGAGAGAGUGGUCUCACAACGGAAGGGCACCAGCCACUGAGAAGUCCUAAGGCCGUGUUUGAGUUCUGGCUCAUCUUUUUUGCUAAUUUGCUCUUAUGCAUAUCACCCAACCUCGCUAAGCCAGUUUCAUCAUCAGCGAGAACAGCACACUGACAUGCAGGGCCAGCUCAGGCGCUACCACAAGCUACACAUCCGUCCAUUCGUUUAAUCUUCACAGCAGCCCUGGAGGUCACCCAGGCAUGGAAUGCACAGCUCUGCCAGACAGAAAGCGCUUUGGAUGCCUGAGAAACAACAGCUUGUCCGGGCUACUGAUGCGAAGAGAGGCCAUGGUUUCCUUUUUCUCUGCUCUGAAUGGCAGCCUUGACGUCACAACAGCUAGGAACCACUGGAGGGACAAAUAACAAGGCGCAAGCCAGAAGCGCCCUGCUCUGUCGCAGGGGCAGGGCCAUUUUCAUCCAGUUCUGAUAAACACAGCACAUUCACAAACAUCUGAAGCCAACUGCAAGGCACCCGUCACUCAGCGAGAAAAGCAGAAAGGUGCCAAUUCAGAUGGCUGAGCUACUUCGCCUGGGUCCCGACCUGUAUCACCACAGGGUCACAGAAAUGGAACCUUCUCCGUCACACCUCCUGAUGGCAGUCAGCUGUGACCCGCUGAAUCCAGGACAUCAUGCAUUCCAGUUUCAUUUGCGAGAACAUUUCCAGGUCCGGCUGAAGCCUAGUGGCUCCAGCAGAGGUCUCAACCCCUUUGGGAUGCUCAGUGGGAGACAGAAUCAAGGGCCAAUGAUCCAUGACCUAGUCCUAGUGCCCAUGUCAGUUUGUCAAAGGCCCUCAGAGCAGAUUGUGUUUUCCCUGGCGGGGGCUUGACUUCUUUGCUUUAAAAAGGAUUCUUAAGUAUUUAUUGCAGUAAAAUUAACCACCUUCAAAUUUCUGCCAGAUCCCCUGGAGGUAUAUAGCUUAUUAACACAAAACAAAUGUGACACUUGAAAGGCAGGAGACUUGGUUUCUAUUCUCUGGCCCACUACUGACUUAUUGGGUGGCUUCAGGCAAAUAAGUGAAAUCAAGAAGACACCAUCUUCAACAAGCACAGAGUGGGCACCUGGCAGGUGAGCAGUGCCCUGUGAGGUCUGGGGCUGGGUUCGGUGGUGAAACUAGGUCAGCACACACAGCCCUUUGCUGGGGGCCCACUGCCUGGGGUAGGAUUUUUGUAGCUGGGUUCAAGGUGGACAUGCUGAAAUGUGACCCUAAAAUGUUUGUACUCUUGAAGCUGAAGGAGUGGGAAGAAACCUGUCAUUUAAAGAAGGACAGUAUGGCCAGGUGUGGUGGCUCACACCUGUAAUCUCAGCACUUUGGGAGGCCAAGGUGGGAGGAUCACUUGAGUCCAGGAGUUUGAGACUAGCCUGGGUAACAUAGGGAGACCACAUCUCUACAAAACAUUUAAAAAUUAGCCAGGCAUGGUGGGAUGUGCCUGUAGUCCCAGCUACUCAGGAAGUUGAGGCAGGAGGAUCACUUGAGCCCAGGAGGUCAAGGCUACAGUGAGCUAUUGUCAUGCUACUG
rnacentral:lncRNA from 1 species